rnacentral:rRNA from 1 species
UGGGGGAUAUUGCACAAUGGGGGAAACCCUGAUGCAGCGACGCCGCGUGGAGGAAGAAGGUUUUCGGAUUGUAAACUCCUGUCGUUAGGGACGAUAAUGACGGUACCUAACAAGAAAGCACCGGCUAACUACGUGCCAGCAGCCGCGGUAAAACGUAGGGUGCAAGCGUUGUCCGGAAUUACUGGGUGUAAAGGGAGCGCAGGCGGGAAGACAAGUUGGAAGUGAAAACCAUGGGCUCAACCCAUGAAUUGCUUUCAAAACUGUUUUUCUUGAGUAGUGCAGAGGUAGAUGGAAUUCCCGGUGUAGCGGUGGAAUGCGUAGAUAUCGGGAGGAACACCAGUGGCGAAGGCGGUCUACUGGGCACCAACUGACGCUGAGGCUCGAAAGCAUGGGUAGCAAACAGGAUUAGAUACCCUGGUAGUCCAUGCCGUAAACGAUGAUUACUAGGUGUUGGGGGAUUGACCCCCUCAGUGCCGCAGUUAACACAAUAAGUAAUCCACCUGGGGAGUACGACCGCAAGGUUGAAACUCAAAGGAAUUGACGGGGGCCCGCACAAGCAGUGGAGUAUGUGGUUUAAUUCGAAGCAACGCGAAGAACCUUACCAGGUCUUGACAUCCGAUGCAUAGCACAGAGAUGUGUGAAAUCCUUCGGGACAUCGAGACAGGUGGUGCAUGGUUGUCGUCAGCUCGUGUCGUGAGAUGUUGGGUUAAGUCCCGCAACGAGCGCAACCCUUAUUGCCAGUUACUACGUUAAGAGGACUCUGGCGAGACUGCCGUUGACAAAACGGAGGAAGGUGGGGAUGACGUCAAAUCAUCAUGCCCUUUAUGACCUGGGCUACACACGUACUACAAUGGCGUUAAACAAAGAGAAGCAAGACCGCGAGGUAGAGCAAAACUCAAAAACAACGUCUCAGUUCAGAUUGCAGGCUGCAACUCGCCUGCAUGAAGUCGGAAUUGCUAGUAAUCGCGGAUCAGCAUGCCGCGGUGAAUACGUUCCC